rnacentral:rRNA from 1 species
GCACAACGCGAAGAACCUUACCAGGCCUUGACAUCCAAUGAACUUUCUAGAGAUAGAUUGGUGCCUUCGGGAACAUUGAGACAGGUGCUGCAUGGCUGUCGUCAGCUCGUGUCGUGAGAUGUUGGGUUAAGUCCCGUAACGAGCGCAACCCUUGUCCUUAGUUACCAGCACGUAAUGGUGGGCACUCUAAGGAGACUGCCGGUGACAAACCGGAGGAAGGUGGGGAUGGACGUCAAGUCAUCAUGGCCCUUACGGCCUGGGCUACACACGUGCUACAAUGGUCGGUACAAAAGGGUUGCCAAGCCCGCGAGGGUGGAGCUAAUCCCAUAAAACCGAUCGUAGUCCGGAUCGCAGUCUGCAACUCGACUGCGUGAAGUCGGAAUCGCUAGUAAUCGUGAAUCAGAAUGUCACGGUGAAUACGUUCCCGGGUCUUGUACACACCG